AAUCUGGAAAAGUAAAAGUAAAUGAUGAGCCUAGAAUAUCUCAUGAAGUGCUCAAAGGAUGAUAGGGAUAUGGCAAAAGGACACAAAUGUCAACUUGGAGGGGCUCCAAAUGGACAAUUUGUGCACAAUAGUAUCCGAUUAUAACCUACAGUGUGUGCGUGCGUGCGUGUGUCUGUGUAAAGCGCUUCCUUAUAGUGGAAUGCUGACUAAUAAAUUACAGGAAAGCCUGACAACCACUAAUUGUUCAAGCAAGAAUCAUCAAUGACUGCUAAAACUAGUGGAUAAAAGUUUGAUGAGAGCCGGAUAUUUACAUAGUCUCAAAGUAUCUCCCAUAAAGGGAAAAAUCGUUACAGUGGAAAAACCUGGCAGAUAUUAUCUUUAAGUAAUUAAAGUUAACAUCACCAGUAACGGUUCAAACUGACAUCACGUGCCUCCUGAUAGGACGCAUCAAGGACAUAACAUCAUUUCUGUAGUAUUCCUGCCCAACUGCAUAAUCUCAAUUAAAUCAUGAGAAAAAUACCAGACAAAUGCAAACUGAGUGCAUUCUACAAAAUAACUGUCCUUUAAAAAUCUCAAGGUACGAAAGAUAGAGGAACCGCUCCGGAUUAGGGAAGACUCAAGAAACAUGACAUCCAAAUACAAAAAGCAAUCAUGAUGGCAUCCUGCACCUUUUUGUUUUUCCUUAUAAAAGACAUUAGUGGAACAACUGGUGAAAUAUGAAUGAAGCCUGGAUAUUAACUAAUAGCAUCAUAUACUUUAUUUCCUAAUUUUAAUAAUUGUACGGUGGUUAUGUAAAUGUCCUUGUCUCAAGGAAACACGCCCUGAAAUGUUUAGGGAUAAGGGACAUAAUGUCUGCAAUUUUCUUUCAAGUGAUUCAUAAAAAAUAGUUACUGAGAGUCAUUAUUGUGAGUGUAGUUAUUGAGGAAAAAAAUAAUAAAGCAGGUAUGGUAAAAUGUUAGCAAUUGGAGAAUCUGGAUGAAAGAUAUGUGGGAGUUUUUUCUACUGUUCUUGCAAGUUUUAAGUCUGAAAUUAUUCAAAAUUUUUAAAAUCCCCCUUCUCCCCAAAAAGAAUCACUAUAUUUCAGUGACUAAUGAAAUAACAGACCUAGGCAAUGAUCAUCAAUGAAUGUUAAAACUGCUACAUGAAAGAUCAACAGAACUUUUAUAACGGAUGAAUCAACCUGACAGCAACGGGACUGAUGAAUUUUGACAUAGUGAAAAUGGGACAGGACAACCAGACAAUGCUGCCUGUGCUGCAACAGGACGUACAGCAAGGAAGUAUUCUUGGAGGGGGCGGGGACAAUCUGAAUCCAGUUAAGUUUCUAGACCUGACUACUCAUUCACAGAAGAUGUGGGGGAGAGUAACAAAUUGACACUAUAAGGACGCUCCUUGCUGAGUCCACAUUAUGGGAUGUUCUGUGGGUAAACGAUCUUGUUUUUUCAAUUUUUUUUUUUUUUUGAGGGGAAACUGGUUAGACUAAAAGAGACUUAAACAUAGCAACCAAAUGCAAUCCGUGAACCUCAUUCUGAUUUUGAUUCUGAUUCAAACUUUUGUAAAAAGACAUUUUUAAGAUAAUCUGAAAAAAAUCUUACAGACUGGGUUUAGAUACUAAGAAACUAUUAAUAGUCUUAAUGUGAUAUUGGCAUGUACUUUUUUUUAAAGGUAUCUUUGUCUGUUACCAUGCACAUUAAAAUAUUUACGAGUGACUCAGUGAUAUCUAGGAUUUGUUUUAAAAUAUUCUAAGGGAAAAAAAGGUGAGAUUAAAAAAACAAAAUUGGUAAAACGGUAGGAAUUUGUUACAUUAGCUGCUGUGACUGAAAGUUGUGUCCCCCAAGAUUUGUAUGUUGGGAGCCCUAGUCCCAAUGGGAUGGUAUUCAGAGGUGGGGCUUUGGGGAGGUGGUUAGGGUUAGAUUAGGUCAUGAGGGUGGGGUCCUCGUAAUGGGAUAAAAAGACGAUUUUUAAGAGAUAAAAAGAUGGGAUAGAAAGAGAAAGACCUGAGAUCUCCUUCUCUGCCAUGUGAGGACAUAACAAGAAGAUGGCCAUGUGCAAACCAGGAAGAUGACACUCACCAGACACUUGAUCUGUCAGCACCUAGAUCGUGAGACUUCCCAGCCCAGACUAAAGACACUAGUCUACUUCAAUGUAUGCUUACGUUUUUUCAAUUAAAAAGAAAAAAAACUGAACUCAGGCAAAAGCUAAUUAAAGACGAAAGCUGCAGUAACCUCAGUACUGUUAAGGACUCAAACCCCUUGGGAAUGAAGGUUUAAGUCCCUCACCAGCUCAGGGGCUGGUGGAAGGCAAAAAGAACAUGAAAUGGGAAGUAAAUAAGGAAGUUGUACAAAUUAUCACCCACAGCCUCACGACAAGGCACCGAAACAAAAACUGAUGUAUAUUUUAUUCCUUGCUGUAUAUAUACAUAUAUAUAUACACCAAUUUUUCAUAUACAUCUGUGUGUGUAUAUAUAUAUAUGUAAAAUAAAAUUUAGUUAAGAUACGAAUUAUCCAGGUGAGACUGUAAGUGAAUUGAAGAUAUUAGUAUCACCUAGAAAAGGAUAUGAUGACUGACCAUUAGAUAAGGUAUUAGUGAUUUCCCUAGUUACUAAUCCUUCAGUAAUCUUACCUUCCUACUCUUCCAACGCCAAUUCUUCCUACUCUUUCAACGCCAAUCCCCUGCCCUCCACCCGCAUUUCUUUUGACUGUUUUUUUUUUUCUUUUCCUUUGCAGUACGCGGGCCUCUCACUGUUGUGGCCUCUCCCGUUGGGGAGCACAGGCUCCGGACGCGCAGGCUCAGCGGCCAUGGCUCACGGGCCCAGCCGCUCCGUGGCAUGUGGGAUCUUCCCGGACCGGGGCACGAACCCGUGUCCCCUGCGUCGGCAGGCGGACUCUCAGCCACUGCGCCACCAGGGAAGCCCCUGACUGAAUAUUUAGGACGGUUUCUGAUUCAUGAUGGGACCCUGACCUGCUUAGGGCCUAACUUGACCUUAUCAAAAGAAGUCAGAAAAUCCAACCAAACCUAACAAUGACCCACUGACCUUCAGGAUUACUUCUCAUGCUAAAGGAGGCAUUCAAAGGAGAAAACAACUGGCUACCAAGGGAAAAUAAUCCUCCACUCCUAGAUUUGGGGGAACAAGUAAACAAUCUGUAAGAAAUGAUGUCUCUGCUUAAGACCAGCUGGACUGAACUGAGUGUUGAAGCUAAGCAACAACAGUACCUCCCAUCCCACAUGCUCUUCUAUAAAGUGACCUUACAACUCAUUCCAUCAAGGGAGAUGUUGGAGGUGACCAUGUUCCCCAAACCGCUGAAUCUGAAAGAGCUUGUGACUACUCUCACAAAGUGUCACAGGAGUGACACUACGUGACUCCCGAGUCCAGGUCAGAAGAGGUGAUGCAGCCUCUGCCAGGUUCUGGGGGAAGCCAACUGCCAAAUAAGAAGUCCACCCUGAAGCUGCCAUGCUGGAGAGGGCACACGUAGCUCCUCCGGCCACCUACCCAGCUGAGUUCUCCGGCAACCGCCAGCGUCAACUGCCACUCACACGAGUGAGCCAUCGUGUCGCCCAACCUCUCAAACCUUCCUAAGGUCGCAGCCCCAGCUGACCUCUGACCGUAACCAGAGGAGACACCAUGGAAGAACUGCCCGGCUGCGCCCUCCCCACAGAGUCCUGACUCACAAAACUACCAAUAAAAUGCAAGGGUUGCUGUAAGCCAGUUUGCCGGUAAUUCGUUACGUAGCAACAGUAACCAGAACACCGACUACCUUGGGAAAAGUAUCCAUAAUCAAACUACCCUGUCCGGAACCAGUCAGCGUUCCAUAGCCUGCCAGAGAAAGCCACAGCUGCGUCCAUGUCUUGGGUGUUCACGUGUCUGGAGCUUUUCCAUGGUGCCAAGAAGAUGGUUUGGUGGAAAACUCAGCCUUGACAAGGGAAAUGACACGUUUUGGAAAGCACUAUCAAGAUCAAACCUGGCAGCAUCACCUGGAGGACCCGUAAAAAUGUAGAUGCCCCGGCCCCACACUCAAGGAAUCAGAAGACCCAAAGGUAAAGCCAACCAAUUCGCAUAUUUUUGUAAUUCUGAUGCAGUCAGAACCAGCAACCACUGAUGUUGUCGAAAAUCUCAGUGGCUGUAUCACCCCACCAUACCCAGAAACCAAUCGCCAGUCCUCUUCAGCAGAAACUCAGCCAGCAUCAAGAACAGAUUCACUGCCUCCUGAAAUGGCCUAUUCCUCUUUCAAGAACCUCUGAAAUCCUCCUAUAUUUUGUGCCAAAGUAUACUUCACUGUACUUUUUGCUCAUGAUUCAUGAGUCUGCUCUCUGGAGUAAUGCAGAACAAAUCUAAGUCUUUUUCACAUGACAGACAAACGUCUGCAGAGAGCUAUCAAUUUCCCUUAAGUCUUAUUUGUACAUAAGAAAUAAUACCCCAUCACUCCAUCAACAUUGCCUCAGGGCAUUUUCCAGUUCAACCAACAUCCUGUACUGCCCACUCAGAGAACUGAAGUUUG